UGAACGCUAGCGGGAUGCCUUACACAUGCAAGUCGAACGGCAGCACGGACUUCGGUCUGGUGGCGAGUGGCGAACGGGUGAGUAAUGUAUCGGAACGUGCCCAGUAGCGGGGGAUAACUACGCGAAAGCGUAGCUAAUACCGCAUACGCCCUACGGGGGAAAGCAGGGGAUCGCAAGACCUUGCACUAUUGGAGCGGCCGAUAUCGGAUUAGCUAGUUGGUGGGGUAACGGCUCACCAAGGCGACGAUCCGUAGCUGGUUUGAGAGGACGACCAGCCACACUGGGACUGAGACACGGCCCAGACUCCUACGGGAGGCAGCAGUGGGGAAUUUUGGACAAUGGGGGAAACCCUGAUCCAGCCAUCCCGCGUGUGCGAUGAAGGCCUUCGGGUUGUAAAGCACUUUUGGCAGGAAAGAAACGUCGUGGGUUAAUACCCCGCG
rnacentral:rRNA from 1 species